GAACAGUUUAUUCCUGCUACUGAAGGGAGUAAUACUGGCCAGGUAUUUAGGAGGGCACGCCAUGAAGGGCAUGCUACAAUUAGGUGUCUCAUAAACGCAUGUUUACUGAAGAGGUGUGGGAAAGUGAAAUAUGUUACUAUUCCCUAUUUAUUCAGAAACUGGGCUUUGAAAACAGGUGAGGGGGUCUCCUCACUCAUUAUACCGAGCAAUGGUAUGGGUAUGUGUCAGGAUCCAAAAUGGAUUUCGCUCAAGUGCAAUGACUUGAGCUCUUCACUUCCAAGGGUAAGUUACCAUAUGGUAACCACCUUGUUUCUCCAAAGGAAUGAAGGUUUGGAUUUGGAACAGAUUCGGGAUCAUAUUUUUGUUCUCAAGAGUAGGCUACGCGUUCUGGACUUGGGUUAUACUGGCAUUAAAUCACUGCCAUCUUCUAUCUCCAAUUUAAUCAACCUGAAAGCACUAUAUCUUAACAAUUGUAGUGAGUUGGGUGAACUGCCUGCCAAAAUAAAAAAACUCAAGUCUAUAGAAAUCCUUGACAUUUGUCAAACUGGAAUUUCUCAUUGGCCUGAUGAAAUAGGAGAUAUGACUGGUCUUAGGUGUUUGAGAGUUUCAUUUAUUAGAAAUGUUGGUAAUCACCAUCAUAAUGAGGUCCAACCAUGGAAAAUAAUUGCUAGGCUUCCUUCUCUGGAAGAAUUAACUAUUGUUGUUGAUGAAGUUUAUCAAAACCAGUGGAAUGGCAUCUUCUUGGAUGAAAAGUGGAAUAAUGUUGCGCAGGAAAUUGCCGAGGAGGUGGCCAAAUUGAAGUUUUUAACCACACUUCAUAUCUACUUUCCAAGUGUAAAGUGCCUCGAUGCUUUCAUCAGGGAAAGUAAGUCAUGGAAUGAGAAAGACGGUCAAUGGGGAGAAAAAACCUUCAGAUCCUUUAAAAUCACAGUCGGUUCUUUCUCGAGGAAUUAUGAAACAGACAUGAAUGAACACAAAGCUGAACGACAUUUGAAAUUUUUUGCUUACAAUGAACUUUCAGAUUUCCAUGGAUCUUUGAGCACAAUUUCAGAGGUUCUAAAGCAGGCCUGCACCUUUGAAUUGAUUGGCCAUAAAACCAUUGAAGAUUUAUCAGGAUUUGGCAUCAAUAACAUGGCAGGGUUGAAGGUAUGCGCAAUUAAGGACUGCAAUCAAAUGAAGACCAUCAUUAGUGGCAACAAUGAAGAAGAUGCUGCACUAAAAGAGUUAAAACAACUGCAUUUAAUCAAUUUAAGUAAGUUGACUAGUAUUUGUGAGGGCUUGAUGGAGGAGGAAAGUUUUGCUAGUUUGACUACUCUUAUCAUCAGUAACUGUCACGAGUUGAGUGUAAUUCUGUCAAUCAAGAUGAUUCAGCGAAUUACUCUAUUGGAGCAUUUAAGAGUGGAAAAUUGUUCAAAAACAACGGAUAUAAUUGGAGUCAGCGAGCAGGAUGGGAACAAUCCAACUCCUUCACUCCCAAGGUUGAAAAGCUUGCAGCUGGUCAAUCUAUCAAUAUUGCAAAAUUUUUGUCAAAAUGUCACAUUGAAUGGGCCCUCCUUGCGAGCAAUGGAGAUUGAUCAGUGUUGGAUGCUACAAAAUUUACCUUUGAGCCUGAACAAUGCAGAGAAUCUAAAACUGAUCAAAUGCCAUGAAUCUUGGUGGAAUCAGUUGAAUCUUGAACCUCAUACCAGAAGCCGAUAUCAAGCAUUCUGCCAAUUUAUUUAAAGAGUUGAGAUAAAUGUUGAAGAAAUCCCCUGACAAGUAGAGAAGAGGUUCUGAUGUUUUGUCAUGACUCAUGCUAGAAAAGUGCUGGAAAAAUAGCGGAGUUGCCUAUGAGCAUUUGAAACAAGCUCAAUUGGAUCCAGAGGUUGUUACAACACAAGGUAGCAGAUUCGUAACCCCACAGAUGAAAUUCGCACAAAAUUUUUUGUAAAGCUUAUCCGUCAGUACCAGAGAAAGGGGAGCUUCAUAUUUUAAUUUCCUUUCCAUCUUUCAAUGAUGAGGAAUACAAACCUUAUUGUAGUAGGGGUGGUGGAUAGUGAAGGGCUGAAGGCAUACCUGCAUUGCCUAGCGCAGCAGAAUGAACGAGACUGGAAUUCAUGUUAAAAUUUUAUUUGGUGUUAGAUGAAGACUCAUCUCUUAUUUAUUGUGCAGAAAAUGAUCUGUCUUUGCUAAGUAUUUUGUUGUUUCCUAUGUUUGUAACUUGUAACAAUAAAAAUGAAUUGAAUUGAGUGCAUGAAAAAUUAAUAUUAAUAAAAUGCUUAACAAUUUU
rnacentral:misc_RNA from 1 species